CGCCCUUAGAGUUUGAUCCUGGCUCAGGACGAACGCUGGCGGCGUGCCUAAUACAUGCAAGUCGAACGCUCGAGUGCUUGCACUCAAGAGUGGCGGACGGGUGAGUAACACGUGGGUAACCUGCCCAUCAGAGGAGGAUAACACUUGGAAACAGGUGCUAAUACCGCAUAAUAGUCAACCGCAUGGUUUGGUUGAAAGACGUUCGUGUCGCUGAUGGAUGGACCCGCGGUGCAUUAGCUAGUUGGUGAGGUAACGGCUCACCAAGGCCAUGAUGCAUAGCCGACCUGAGAGGGUGAUCGGCCACACUGGGACUGAGACACGGCCCAGACUCCUACGGGAGGCAGCAGUAGGGAAUCUUCGGCAAUGGACGAAAGUCUGACCGAGCAACGCCGCGUGAGUGAAGAAGGUUUUCGGAUCGUAAAACUCUGUUGUUAGAGAAGAAUAAGUGGGAGGUAACUCUCACCUUGACGGUAUCUAACCAGAAAGCCACGGCUAACUACGUGCCAGCAGCCGCGGUAAUACGUAGGUGGCAAGCGUUGUCCGGAUUUAUUGGGCGUAAAGCGAGCGCAGGCGGUUUCUUAAGUCUGAUGUGAAAGCCCCCGGCUCAACCGGGGAGGGGCAUUGGAAACUGGGAGACUUGAGUGCAGAAGAGGAGAGUGGAAUUCCAUGUGUAGCGGUGAAAUGCGUAGAUAUAUGGAGGACCACCAGUGGCGAA
rnacentral:rRNA from 1 species